rnacentral:rRNA from 1 species
GACGAACGCUGGCGGCGUGCCUAAUACAUGCAAGUCGAGCGCAGGAAGUCGACGGAACCCUUCGGGGGGAAGUUGAUGGAAUGAGCGGCGGACGGGUGAGUAACACGUAAAGAACCUGCCCUCGGGUCUGGGAUAACCACGAGAAAUCGGGGCUAAUACCGGAUGGGUCAUCGGACCGCAUGGUCCGAGGAUGAAAGGCGCUUCGGCGUCGCCUGGGGAUGGCUUUGCGGUGCAUUAGCUAGUUGGUGGGGUAAUGGCCCACCAAGGCGACGAUGCAUAGCCGACCUGAGAGGGUGAUCGGCCACACUGGGACUGAGACACGGCCCAGACUCCUACGGGAGGCAGCAGUAGGGAAUCUUCCACAAUGGACGAAAGUCUGAUGGAGCAACGCCGCGUGAACGAUGAAGGCCUUCGGGUCGUAAAGUUCUGUUGUAAGGGAAGAACAAGUGCCGCAGGCAAUGGCGGCACCUUGACGGUACCUUGCGAGAAAGCCACGGCUAACUACGUG